rnacentral:tRNA from 1 species
AGUCCCGUCGUCUAGCGGCCCAGGAUCGAGGACUCUGGAUCCUUGGACGGCAGUUCGAAUCUGCCCGGGACUA